UUAGAGUUUGAUCCUGGCUCAGGAUGAAUUUUGGCGGCGUGCUUAACACAUGCAAGUCGAACGAACUUUCGGGUUAGUGGCGGACGGGUGAGUAACGCGUGGGAAUCUGCCCUCAGGAGGGGGAUAACGGUUGGAAACGACCGCUAAUACCCCAUAUGCCGAGAGGUGAAACGAAAUUCGCCUGAGGAUGAGCCCGCGUCUGAUUAGCUAGUUGGUGGGGUAAAGGCCUACCAAGGCAUCGAUCAGUAGCUGGUCUGAGAGGAUGAUCAGCCACACUGGGACUGAGACACGGCCCAGACUCCUACGGGAGGCAGCAGUGGGGAAUUUUCCGCAAUGGGCGCAAGCCUGACGGAGCAACGCCGCGUGAGGGAUGAAGGCCUCUGGGCUGUAAACCUCUUUUCUCAAGGAAGAAGAACUGACGGUACUUGAGGAAUAAGCCACGGCUAAUUCCGUGCCAGCAGCCGCGGUAAUACGGGAGUGGCAAGCGUUAUCCGGAAUUAUUGGGCGUAAAGCGUCCGCAGGCGGCCUUGAAAGUCUGUCGUUAAAGCGUGGAGCUUAACUCCAUUUCGGCGGCGGAAACUACAAGGCUUGAGUGUGGUAGGGGCAGAGGGAAUUCCCGGUGUAGCGGUGAAAUGCGUAGAUAUCGGGAAGAACACCAGUGGCGAAGGCGCUCUGCUGGGCCAUAACUGACGCUCAUGGACGAAAGCUAGGGGAGCGAAAGGGAUUAGAUACCCCUGUAGUCCUAGCCGUAAACGAUGAACAUUAGGUGUCGGGGGAAUCGACCCCCUCGGUGUCGUAGCUAACGCGUUAAGUGUUCCGCCUGGGGAGUACGCACGCAAGUGUGAAACUCAAAGGAAUUGACGGGGGCCCGCACAAGCGGUGGAGUAUGUGGUUUAAUUCGAUGCAACGCGAAGAACCUUACCAGGGUUUGACAUCCUGCGAAUCCCUUGGAAACUUGGGGGUGCCUUCGGGAGCGCAGAGACAGGUGGUGCAUGGCUGUCGUCAGCUCGUGUCGUGAGAUGUUGGGUUAAGUCCCGCAACGAGCGCAACCCACGUCUUUAGUUGCCAGCAUUUAGUUGGGCACUCUAGAGAGACCGCCGGUGAUAAACCGGAGGAAGGUGUGGAUGACGUCAAGUCAUCAUGCCCCUUACAUCCUGGGCUACACACGUACUACAAUGCUACGGACAAAGGGUUGCAAACUCGCGAGAGCUAGCUAAUCCCAUAAACCGUGGCUCAGUUCAGAUCGUAGGCUGCAACUCGCCUACGUGAAGGAGGAAUCGCCAGUAAUCGCAGGUCAGCAUACUGCGGUGAAUACGUUCCCGGGCCUUGUACACA
rnacentral:rRNA from 1 species